AGCAUAUCAAUAAGCGGAGGAAAAGAAACCAACAGGGAUUGCCUUAGUAGCGGCGAGUGAAGCGGCAAGAGCUCAAAUUUGAAAUCUGGUACUUUCAGUGCCCGAGUUGUAAUUUGAAGAUCACAAUCUUGAAAUUGGUCCUUGUCUAUGUUCCUUGGAACAGGACGUCACAGAGGGUGAGAAUCCCGUGCGAUGAGGAUACCUUUUUCAUUUAAGAUGUGUUCGACGAGUCGAGUUGUUUGGGAAUGCAGCUCAAAGUGGGUGGUAAAUUCCAUCUAAAGCUAAAUAUUGGCGAGAGACCGAUAGCGAACAAGUACAGUGAUGGAAAGAUGAAAAGAACUUUGAAAAGAGAGUGAAAAAGUACGUGAAAUUGUUGAAAGGGAAGGGUAUUUAAUCAGACUUGGUAUUUAGUUAUCUCUUCUCCUUGUGGGAGGGGCUCUAACUUUUUACUGGGCCAGCAUCAGUUUUGGUGGUAAGAUAAUCGCAGUUGAAUGUGGCUCUUCGGAGUGUUAUAGCUUCUGUUGAUAUUACCUACUGGGACUGAGGUCUGCGGCUUUUGCCUAGGAUGCUGGCGUAAUGAUUAAACACCGCCCGUCUUGAAACAUGGACCAAGGAGUCUAACGUCUAUGCGAGUGUUUGGGUGUAAAACCCGUACGCGUAAUGAAAGUGAACGUAGAUCAGGGCCCGUAUGGGUGCAUGAUCGACCGAUCCUGAUGUUUUCAGAUGGAUUUGAGUAAGAGCAUAGCUGUUGGGACCCGAAAGAUGGUGAACUAUGCCUGAAUAGGGUGAAGCCAGAGGAAACUCUGGUGGAGGCUCGUAGCGGUUCUGACGUGCAAAUCGAUCGUCGAAUUUGGGUAUAGGGGCGAAAGACUAAUCGAACCAUCUAGUAGCUGGUUCCUGCCAA
rnacentral:rRNA from 2 species